rnacentral:rRNA from 1 species
UCCAACCCCUGUGACAUACCUUAAUGUUGCCUCGGCGGAUCAGCCCGCGCCCCGUAAAACGGGACGGCCCGCCAGAGGACCCAAACUCUAAUGUUUCUUAUUGUAACUUCUGAGUAAAACAAACAAAUAAAUCAAAACUUUCAACAACGGAUCUCUUGGUUCUGGCAUCGAUGAAGAACGCAGCAAAAUGCGAUAAGUAAUGUGAAUUGCAGAAUUCAGUGAAUCAUCGAAUCUUUGAACGCACAUUGCGCCCGCUGGUAUUCCGGCGGGCAUGCCUGUUCGAGCGUCAUUUCAACCCUCAAGCCCCCGGGUUUGGUGUUGGGGAUCGGCUCUGCCUUCUGGCGGUGCCGCCCCCGAAAUACAUUGGCGGUCUCGCUGCAGCCUCCAUUGCGUAGUAGCUAACACCUCGCAACUGGAACGCGGCGCGGCCAUGCCGUAAAACCCCAACUUCUGAAUGUUGACCUCGGAUCAGGUAGGAAUACCCGCUGAACUUAAGCAUAUCAUAGCCGGAGGGAAA